GUGUGAAGAGAAGAGUCCAACUCAAUUUGAACUCUAGAUUUUCAUUCAAAUUCAAAACCAUUUGAACUCAAAUUUAAACCAAUCAAUUUCUAAUUUAAAAGAAAUUAGAUGUGGACAUAGAAAAACUUUUGGGCAUGAGAAUAAUUUAUGUAAAAAUUUUUUCUACCAUGAAGAAUAAGAGGGUGCAGAUAAAAGAGGUGCAAGG
rnacentral:lncRNA from 1 species